AUGCUCACUUUGACAGCAUGUAUACUAAAAUUGAAAUGAUACAGGGAAGAUUAGUGUGGACCCUGCGCGAUGACAGGCAGAUUCAUGGUAUUCUAUGUUUUUAU